UACGGGGGGGGCAAGCGUUGUUCGGAAUUACUGGGCGUAGAGGGUUUGUAGGUGGCUUGUUAAGUCAGACGUGAAAUCCCUCAGCUUAACUGGGGAACUGCGUCUGAGACUGGUGAGCUUGAGUGCAGGAGAGGAACGCGGAAUUCCAGGUGUAGCGGUGAAAUGCGCAGAUAUCAGGAGGAACACCGGUGGCGAAGGCGGGUCUCUGGGCAGUAACUGACGCUGAGGAGCGAAAGCGUGGGGAGCGAACAGG
rnacentral:rRNA from 1 species